AGCUCCAAUAGCGUAUAUUAAAGUUGUUGCGGUUAAAAAGCUCGUAGUUGAAUUUCUGCCUUGGACGACCGACCCACCAUAGGUGCGCGUCAGGUUUGACCUCGGCAUCCUUCUGAAAGACUUUCUGCAUUUAAUCGUGUGGUCUGGAUUUCAGGACUUUUACUUUGAGGAAAUUAGAGUGUUUCAAGCAGGCUUAUGCCUUGAAUACAUUAGCAUGGAAUAAUAAGAUAGGACUUCGGUUCUAUUUUGUUGGUUUCUGGAACUGAAGUAAUGAUUAAUAGGGACAGUCGGGGGCAUUCGUACUUAACUGUCAGAGGUGAAAUUCUUGGAUUUGUUAAAGACGAACUACUGCGAAAGCAUUUGCCAAGGAUGUUUUCAUUG
rnacentral:rRNA from 1 species